UAAGUGAAAAGAACGAAGUUAUUUUGUGUAAGUAAAAUAUAUGUGUAUUUGCUUUUAAAGAGAAAUAAGCAAAGGAUACAACAGUGAAAUGGCAACCUAAGGAAGGAAAAGUAUUUGCAAAUCAUUUAUCUGAAAAGGGAUCAAUCUAGAAUACAUAAUAACUACAACUCAACAACAAAACAAAUAACAUGAAAAAAAUGGGCAAAGGACUUGGAACAGAUAUUUCUCCAAAGAUGAUAGACAAAUGGCCAGCAAGCAUAUGAAAAAACGUUCAACGUCACUAAUCCUUAGGGAAUGCAAAUC
rnacentral:lncRNA from 1 species